UUUUUGUUACUAGUUUGUAAUAAUUAACUUACUUUUGUAAAAAAAGACAUGAGAUUAUUUUUUUAAAUCUAUAUAAAGUUGACAAUACAAAUCGAUAUUGAGAAUAUUAAGAUGUAUAUGAAUUUUAUAAAUUAAAUGCAAUACAUUAAUAUAAAUAUCAAUUGUUGCAAAAUACGAUUUGUUCAAUGAUUUGAUAAUAUUAUUCUUUAUAUUUGUGAAUGGUUAAGUUUGUCUUUGAACAUAUUAUAAAAGUGUAAUGUUCCCCUGAAAAGAAUAAGUUGUCAUCUAAUUACAGGAAAUCCGCAUAAAUUAGAUGAAAUGGAAAGUAAUAAGUAAUAAUUUAUUGAUAAGCGCCUAUGUGAUGGUAAAUCAUGACAUAGGCGCUUUUUU
rfam:Staphylococcus aureus subsp. aureus NCTC 8325, complete genome.